AUUGAACGCUGGCGGCAGGCCUAACACAUGCAAGUCGAACGGUAACAGGAAGCAGCUUGCUGCUUCGCUGACGAGUGGCGGACGGGUGAGUAAUGUCUGGGAAACUGCCUGAUGGAGGGGGAUAACUACUGGAAACGGUAGCUAAUACCGCAUAACGUCGCAAGACCAAAGAGGGGGACCUUAGGGCCUCUUGCCGUCGGAUGUGCCCAGAUGGGAUUAGCUAGUAGGUGGGGUAACGGCUCACCUAGGCGACGAUCCCUAGCUGGUCUGAGAGGAGGACCAGCCACACUGGAACUGAGACACGGUCCAGACUCCUACGGGAGGCAGCAGUGGGGAAUAUUGCACAAUGGGCGCAAGCCUGAUGCAGCCAUGCCGCGUGUAUGAAGAAGGCCUUCGGGUUGUAAAGUACUUUCAGCGGGGAGGAAGGGAGUAAAGUUAAUACCUUGGCUCAUUGACGUUACCCGCAGAAGAAGCACCGGCUAACUCCGUG
rnacentral:rRNA from 1 species